rnacentral:rRNA from 1 species
GGAGUUAGCCGGUGCUUCUUCUGCGAGUAACGUCACAGAUGUAAGGUAUUAACUUACACCCUUUCCUCCUCGCUGAAAGUGCUUUACAACCCGAAGGCCUUCUUCACACACGCGGCAUGGCUGCAUCAGGGUUUCCCCCAUUGUGCAAUAUUCCCCACUGCUGCCUCCCGUAGGAGUCUGGGCCGUGUCUCAGUCCCAGUGUGGCUGAUCAUCCUCUCAGACCAGCUAGGGAUCGUCGCCUAGGUGAGCCUUUACCUCACCUACUAGCUAAUCCCACCUGGGCUUAUCCAUCAGCGCAAGGCCCGAAGGUCCCCUGCUUUCCCCCGUAGGGCGUAUGCGGUAUUAGCAGUCGUUUCCAACUGUUAUCCCCCACAAAUGGGCAAAUUCCCAGGCAUUACUCACCCGUCCGCCGCUCGUCAUCUUCAAAAGCAAGCUUUUGAAAUGUUACCGCUCGACUUGCAUGUGUUAGGCCUGCCGCCAGCGUUCAAUCUGAGCCAGGAUCAAACCUGA